AGCCAGACUCCUACGGGAGGCAGCAGUGGGGAAUAUUGCACAAUGGGGGAAACCCUGAUGCAGCGACGCCGCGUGAGUGAAGAAGUAUUUCGGUAUGUAAAGCUCUAUCAGCAGGGAAGAAGUUGACGGUACCUGAGUAAGAAGCCCCGGCUAACUACGUGCCAGCAGCCGCGGUAAUACGUAGGGGGCAAGCGUUAUCCGGAUUUACUGGGUGUAAAGGGAGCGUAGACGGCAGUGCAAGUCUGAAGUGAAAGCCCCGGGCUUAACCCGGGAACUGCUUUGGAAACUGUACGGCUGGAGUGCUGGAGAGGUAAGCGGAAUUCCUAGUGUAGCGGUGAAAUGCGUAGAUAUUAGGAGGAACACCAGUGGCGAAGGCGGCUUACUGGACAGUAACUGACGUUGAGGCUCGAAAGCGUGGGGAGCAAACAGGAUUAGAUACCCUGGUA
rnacentral:rRNA from 1 species